UUGGAGGGCAAGUCUGGUGCCAGCAGCCGCGGUAAUUCCAGCUCCAAUAGCGUAUAUUAAAGUUGUUGCAGUUAAAAAGCUCGUAGUUGAAUUUCGAGACCGGCUUACUGGUCGUGCUAUUGUACGUACUGGUAUAAUCGGUUUCUCCUUUCUGACGAACUAUAAUGCCAUUAAUUUGGUGUUUUAGGGAAUCAGGACUGUUACUUUGAAAAAAUUAGAGUGUUUAAAGCAGGCUCACGCUUGAAUACAUUAGCAUGGAAUAACGGAAUAGGACGUUUGAUUCUAUUUUGUUGGUUUCUAGGAUCGACGUAAUGAUUAAUAGGGAUAGUUGGGGGCAUUAGUAUUCAAUUGUCAGAGGUGAAAUUCUUGGAUUUAUUGAAGACUAACUACUGCGAAAGCAUUUGCCAAGGAUGUUUUCAUUAAUCAAGAACGAAAGUUAGGGGAUCGAAGACGAUCAGAUACCGUCGUAGUCUUAACCAUAAACUAUGCCGACUAGGGGUCGGAUGAUGUUAAUUUUUUAAUGACUCAUUCGGCGCCUUACGGGAAAC
rnacentral:rRNA from 1 species